GAGAGGGUGAUCGGCCACACUGGGACUGAGACACGGCCCAGACUCCUACGGGAGGCAGCAGUAGGGAAUCUUCCGCAAUGGACGAAAGUCUGACGGAGCAACGCCGCGUGAGUGAUGAAGGUUUUCGGAUCGUAAAGCUCUGUUGUUAGGGAAGAACAAGUACCGUUCGAAUAGGGCGGUACCUUGACGGUACCUAACCAGAAAGCCACGGCUAACUACGUGCCAGCAGCCGCGGUAAUACGUAGGUGGCAAGCGUUGUCCGGAAUUAUUGGGCGUAAAGGGCUCGCAGGCGGUUUCUUAAGUCUGAUGUGAAAGCCCCCGGCUCAACCGGGGAGGGUCAUUGGAAACUGGGGAACUUGAGUGCAGAAGAGGAGAGUGGAAUUCCACGUGUAGCGGUGAAAUGCGUAGAGAUGUGGAGGAACACCAGUGGCGAAGGCGACUCUCUGGUCUGUAACUGACGCUGAGGAGCGAAAGCGUGGGGAGCGAACAGGAUUAGAUACCCUGGUAGUCCACGCCGUAAACGAUGAGUGCUAAGUGUUAGGGGGUUUCCGCCCCUUAGUGCUGCAGCUAACGCAUUAAGCACUCCGCCUGGGGAGUACGGUCGCAAGACUGAAACUCAAAUGAAUUGACGGA
rnacentral:rRNA from 2 species